ACACAUGCAAGUCGAGGGGCAGCAUGAUUGAAGCUUGCUUCAAUUGAUGGCGACCGGCGCACGGGUGAGUAACGCGUAUCCAACCUUCCGUACACUCAGGGAUAGCCUUUCGAAAGAAAGAUUAAUACCCGAUGGUAUGAUGAGAUUGCAUGAUAGCAUCAUUAAAGAUUUAUCGGUGUACGAUGGGGAUGCGUUCCAUUAGGUAGUAGGCGGGGUAACGGCCCACCUAGCCGACGAUGGAUAGGGGUUCUGAGAGGAAGGUCCCCCACAUUGGAACUGAGACACGGUCCAAACUCCUACGGGAGGCAGCAGUGAGGAAUAUUGGUCAAUGGACGAGAGUCUGAACCAGCCAAGUAGCGUGAAGGAUGAAGGUCCUACGGAUUGUAAACUUCUUUUAUAAGGGAAUAAAACCUCCCACGUGUGGGAGCUUGUAUGUACCUUAUGAAUAAGCAUCGGCUAACUCCGUGCCAGCAGCCGCGGUAAUACGGAGGAUGCGAGCGUUAUCCGGAUUUAUUGGGUUUAAAGGGAGCGCAGACGGGUCGUUAAGUCAGCUGUGAAAGUUUGGGGCUCAACCUUAAAAUUGCAGUUGAUACUGGCGUCCUUGAGUGCGGUUGAGGUGUGCGGAAUUCGUGGUGUAGCGGUGAAAUGCUUAGAUAUCACGAAGAACUCCGAUUGCGAAGGCAGCACACUAAGCCGUAACUGACGUUCAUGCUCGAAAGUGUGGGUAUCAAACAGGAUUAGAUACCCUGGUAGUCCACACGGUAAACGAUGGAUACUCGCUGCUGGCGAUAUACAGUCAGCGGCUUAGCGAAAGCGUUAAGUAUCCCACCUGGGGAGUACGCCGGCAACGGUGAAACUCAAAGGAAUUGACGGGGGCCCGCACAAGCGGAGGAACAUGUGGUUU
rnacentral:rRNA from 1 species